rnacentral:rRNA from 1 species
AUUGAACGCUGGCGGCAGGCUUAACACAUGCAAGUCGAGCGGAGAUGAGGUGCUUGCACCUUAUCUUAGCGGCGGACGGGUGAGUAAUGCUUAGGAAUCUGCCUAUUAGUGGGGGACAACAUUCCGAAAGGAAUGCUAAUACCGCAUACGUCCUACGGGAGAAAGCAGGGGAUUUUCGGACCUUGCGCUAAUAGAUGAGCCUAAGUCGGAUUAGCUAGUUGGUGGGGUAAAGGCCUACCAAGGCGACGAUCUGUAGCGGGUCUGAGAGGAUGAUCCGCCACACUUGGACUGGGACACGGCCCAGAGUCCUACGGGAGGCAGCAGUGGGGAAUAUUGGACAAUGGGGGGAACCCUGAUCCAGCCAUGCCGCGUGUGUGAAGAAGGCCUUAUGGUUGUAAAGCACUUUAAGCGAGGAGGAGGCUACUGAGACUAAUACUCUUGGAUAGUGGACGUUACUCGCAGAAUAAGCACCGGCUAACUCUGUGCCAGCAGCCGCAGUAAUAC